rnacentral:rRNA from 1 species
GGCCGUGGAUGCUUACUGCAGUCGAAGGUAAGGUCUCUUCGGAGAUACACGAGUGGCGGACGGGUGAGGAACACGUAGGAAUCUGCCCUAGAGUGGGGGACAACCGAGAGAAAUCUUGGCUAAUACCCCAUAGGUCGAAAGAUUAAAGAAUUUCGCUCUAGGAGGAGCCUGCGUCUGAUUAGCUUGAUGGUGAGGUAAAAGCUCACCAUGGCGACGAUCAGUAGCUGGUUAGAGAUGAUGAUCAGCCACAAUGGGACUGAGAUACGGCCCAUACUCCUACGGGAGGCAGCAGUAGGGAAUUUUGCGCAAUGGACGAAAGUCUGACGCAGCAAUACCGUGUGUGGGAAGACGCCCCGUGGGGUGUAAACCACUGUCGGGAGGGAAGAAACAAAUGACGGUACCUCCAAAGGAAGCACCGGCUAACUCUGUGCCAGCAGCCGCGGUAAUACAGAGGGUGCAAGCGUUGUCCGGAUUUAUUGGGCGUAAAGCGUCUGUAGGCUGCUAUUCAAGUCUGAAGUGAAAGAACGGAGCUUAACUCCGUCCCCGCUUUGGAAACUGGAUAGCUAGAGAGUGUUAGAGGUAAGUGGGAUUUCCGGUGUAGCGGUGAAAUGCGUAGAUAUCGGAAGGAACACCAGAGGCGAAGGCGACUUGCUGGGGCACAUCUGACGCUGAGAGACGAAAGCUAGGGGAGCAAAAGGGAUUAGAUACCCCUGUAGUCCUAGCUGUAAACGAUGAAUACUAGGUGUCAAGGGAAUCGACCCCCUUGGUAUCGAAGCUAACGCGUUAAGUAUUCCGCCUGGGGAGUAUGUACGCAAGUAUGAAACUCAAAGGAAUUGACGGGGACCCG